rnacentral:rRNA from 1 species
CUGGCGGCGUGCUUAACACAUGCAAGUCGAACGCGAAAGGGACUUCGGGUCCUGAGUAAAGUGGCGCACGGGUGAGUAACGCGUAGAUAACCUGUCUUCAUGUCUGGAAUAAUACGCCGAAAGGGGUACUAAUACCGGAUAUUCUUGCUUUUCAUAAGUUAUGCAAGCAAAGGUGGCCUCUGCAUAUGCUACUGCAUGAAGAGGGGUCUGCGUACCAUUAGCUAGUAGGUGGGGUAAUGGCCUACCUAGGCGACGAUGGUUAGCGGGUCUGAGAGGAUGAUCCGCCACACUGGCACUGGAACACGGGCCAGACUCCUACGGGAGGCAGCAGUGAGGAAUAUUGCGCAAUGGGGGAAACCCUGACGCAGCGACGCCGCGUGAGUGAGGAAGGCCUUCGGGUCGUAAAGCUCUGUCAAGAGGAAAGAAGUGUACAAUGGCUAAUACCUGUUGUAUUUGACGGUACCUCUAAAGGAAGCACCGGCUAACUCCGUGCCAGCCGCGGC